CAGCCGCCACGGUAAAACGUAGGUGGCAAGCGUUGUCCGGAAUUAUUGGGCGUAAAGCGCGCGCAGGCGGAUAGGUCAGUCUGUCUUAAAAGUUCGGGGCUUAACCCCGUGAUGGGAUGGAAACUGCCAGUCUAGAGUAUCGGAGAGGAAAGUGGAAUUCCUAGUGUAGCGGUGAAAUGCGUAGAUAUUAGGAAGAACACCAGUGGCGAAGGCGACUUUCUGGACGAAAACUGACGCUGAGGCGCGAAAGCCAGGGGAGCGAACGGGAUUAGAUACCCGCGUAGUCCCUGUCUCUUAUACA
rnacentral:rRNA from 1 species